rnacentral:rRNA from 1 species
CCUACGGGAGGCUGCAGUGAGGAAUAUUUGUCAAUGGCCGGAAGGCUGAACCAGCCAUGCCGCGUGAAGGAUGACUGCCCUAUGGGUUGUAAACUUCUUUUAUAUGGGAACAAAACAGGGUAUGCAUACCCUCUUGUAUGUAUCAUAUGAAUAAGGAUCGGCUAACGCCGUGCCAGCAGCCGCGGUAAUACGGAGGAUCCGAGCGUUAUCCGGAUUGAUUGGGUUUAAAGGGAGCGUAGGUGGAUUAUUAAGUCAGUUGUGAAAGUUUGCGGCUCAACCGUAAAAUUGCAGUUGAAGCUGGCAGUCUUGAGUACAGUAGAGGUGGGCGGAAUUCGUGGUGUAGCGGUGAAAUGCUUAGAUAUCACGAAGAACUCCGAUGGCGAAGGCAGCUCACUGGACUGCAACUGACACUGAUGCUCGAAAGUGUGGGUAUCAAACAGGAUUAGAUACCCCUGUAGUC